rnacentral:rRNA from 1 species
GACGAACGCUGGCGGCGUGCUUAACACAUGCAAGUCGAACGGAAAGUGCUCUUCGGAGUGACUCGAGUGGCGAACGGGUGAGUAACACGUGGGUGAUCUGCCCUGCACUUCGGGAUAAGCCUGGGAAACUGGGUCUAAUACCGGAUAGGACCUCGGGAUGCAUGUCCUGUGGUGGAAAGCUUUUGCGGUGUGGGAUGGGCCCGCGGCCUAUCAGGUUGUUGGUGGGGUGAUGGCCUACCAAGGCGACGACGGGUAGCCGGCCUGAGAGGGUGAGCGGCCACACUGGGACUGAGAUACUGGCCAGGCUCCUACGGGGGGCAGCAGGGGGGAAUAAUGCACAAUGGGCGCAAGCCUGAUGCAGCGACGCCGCGGGAGGGAUGACGGCCUUCGGGUUGUAAACCUCUUUCAGCAUCGACGAAGCGAAAGUGACGGUAGGUGCAGAAGAAGGACCGGCCAACUACGUGCCAGCAGCCGCGGUAA